GACGAACGCUGGCGGCGCGCCUAACACAUGCAAGUCGAACGGAGCUGCGAGAAGCUUGCUUUUCUUAGCUUAGUGGCGGACGGGUGAGUAACGCGUGGGUAACCUGCCUUUGAGUGUGGGACAACAUUUGGAAACGACUGCUAAUACCGCAUAAUCUCACGAUCCGGCAUCGUAGUUAGGGAAAAGUAUUUAUUCUAUUCAGUAUGGACGGACCUCCAAUUAGCUAGUUGGUUGGGUAAGUGCCCACCAAGGCGACGAUUGCUAGACGGACGGAGAGGCUGGACCGAGACAUUGGCGGUGAGACACGGUACAGAAUCCUCCGGGAGGCAGGAGUGGGGGAUAUUGCAAAAUCGCGGAAGUCAUGAUGGAGCGCCGAUCCGUAGAGGAAGAAGGUUUUGGGAUAGUAACCUCCAAUCGAUAGUGAAGAUAAUGACGGUACCUAACAAGAAAGCAACGGCUAACUACGUG
rnacentral:rRNA from 1 species